rnacentral:lncRNA from 1 species
AUUAUCAUCGAGAGAGAAAGAGAGAUUGGAAAAUCGAUUAAGAAAUUACAGAGUGCUCGAUCUUUCCGAACGACUUUUAAAUCUCCACUGAUUGGAGGUCGUCGGUUGUCCGUUGGGUAACUCGUUAAACUUAUGAGAUUACAAGGAAUGAGAUUUUCUAGGUUAGGGAUUGAUAAAUACGAUGCUAAUAGCUAUUAUCGUUUCACGAGCCUAUCUCAAAGGUGGCUAUUCAAGGUUGGUAUGCGAGAAACCAGCAUCCCUUCUUUCAAGAUGUGCUUCACAAACGUCAUAAAAUAACUGAGCAAAAGAUAACAGCCGAAUUCUUUCACGGUACCGAAAGUAUUGUAGGAAAUCUUUUCUCGAGGAGUUUCUACGAAAAGUAAAUAGAUAUAUAUAUACACACGUUGAAGAGGGAACGUAGAUUUCAAAGAGUGACGCGUCAACGCGUCUCGCGAGAGCAAAGCGACAGAUCCUGAAAGCUAAAGGAAGAUUAAGUGCCGACUACGAACGGACAAUGCGACGUGUACGUCGGGAAGCUGUGGAGUAACGCGU